CCUACGGGUGGCAGCAGUGAGGAAUAUUGGUCAAUGGGCGAGAGCCUGAACCAGCCAAGCCGCGUGAGGGAGUACUGCCCUAUGGGUUGUAAACCUCUUUUGUCGGGGAGCAAAAGCCGGACGUCUCCGGCUGUGAGAGUUCCCGAAGAAAAAGCCUCGGCUAACUCCCUGCCAGCCGCCGCGGUAAUACGGAGGAUGCGGGCGUUAUCCGGAUUUAUUGGGUUUAAAGGGUGCGCAGGCGGAUUUUUAAGUCAGCGGUCAAAGCGUGGGGCUCAACCCCAUCCAGCCGUUGAAACUGGGGAUCUAGAGUGUGCGAGAGGUAUGCGGAAUGCGUGGUGUAGCGGUGAAAUGCAUAGAUAUCACGCAGAACCCCGAUUGCGAAGGCAGCAUACCGGUGCACAACUGACGCUCAGGCACGAAAGUGUGGGGAGCAAACAGGAUUAGAUACCCGUGUAGUC
rnacentral:rRNA from 1 species